UUAGGUUCACUCCCUAUGAUGACUUUUAGGUUCACCAACCAAUAGAAUUGUGUUAUUUCAUACUUGAAAUCUUUUAAAAAAAGAAACAAAAUAUUUUUUCAAGCUAUAAGUUAUAUUAUAUAUUUAAAAUAAAAAGAUAAAAAGAAAUAAAUUUAAAAAAUAUAGUAACUAAAAAAAUAUAUUUUUAACGUCCUCAGCAAAAUACUAAACCCUAAAUCCUAAUUCCUAAACCCUAAAUCCU
rnacentral:lncRNA from 1 species